rnacentral:rRNA from 1 species
GCUCGAAUACUCCGCAAUGCGGGAAACCGCGACGGGGCCACCCCGAGUGCCGCCCGAUGAGGGCGGCUUUUCCCCCGUGUAAGGAGCGGGGGGAAUAAGCGGGGGGCAAGUCUGGUGUCAGCCGCCGCGGUAAUACCAGCCCCGCGAGGCUAGGCCAGCCUUCAUGGCUGGCCUGGCGCGCAUGGGCGGGGGGUUUACUGGGCCUAAAGCGCCCGUAGCCGGCCCGGUACGGCGCCCCUGAAAUCCACG